GCAGUCGAACGGUGAAGCCAAGCUUGCUUGGUGGAUCAGUGGCGAACGGGUGAGUAACACGUGAGCAACCUGCCCUGGACUCUGGGAUAAGCGCUGGAAACGGCGUCUAAUACUGGAUAUGAGCUCUCAUCGCAUGGUGGGGGUUGGAAAGAUUUUUCGGUCUGGGAUGGGCUCGCGGCCUAUCAGCUUGUUGGUGAGGUAAUGGCUCACCAAGGCGUCGACGGGUAGCCGGCCUGAGAGGGUGACCGGCCACACUGGGACUGAGACACGGCCCAGACUCCUACGGGAGGCAGCAGUGGGGAAUAUUGCACAAUGGGCGGAAGCCUGAUGCAGCAACGCCGCGUGAGGGAUGACGGCCUUCGGGUUGUAAACCUCUUUUAGCAGGGAAGAAGCGAGAGUGACGGUACCUGCAGAAAAAGCGCCGGGCUAACUACGUGCCAGCAGCCGCGGUAAUACGUAGGGCGCAAGCGUUAUCCGGAAUUAUUGGGCGUAAAGAGCUCGUAGGCGGUUUGUCGCGUCUGCUGUGAAAUCCCGAGGCUCAACCUCGGGCCUGCAGUGGGUACGGGCAGACUAGAGUGCGGUAGGGGAGAUUGGAAUUCCUGGUGUAGCGGUGGAAUGCGCAGAUAUCAGGAGGAACACCGAUGGCGAAGGCAGAUCUCUGGGCCGUAACUGACGCUGAGGAGCGAAAGGGUGGGGAGCAAACAGGCUUAGAUACCCUGGUAGUCCACCCCGUAAACGUUGGGAACUAGUUGUGGGGACCAUUCCACGGUUUCCGUGACGCAGCUAACGCAUUAAGUUCCCCGCCUGGGGAGUACGGCCGCAAGGCUAAAACUCAAAGGAAUUGACGGGGACCCGCACAAGCGGCGGAGCAUGCGGAUUAAUUCGAUGCAACGCGAAGAACCUUACCAAGGCUUGACAUACACCAGAACACCGUAGAAAUACGGGACUCUUUGGACACUGGUGAACAGGUGGUGCAUGGUUGUCGUCAGCUCGUGUCGUGAGAUGUUGGGUUAAGUCCCGCAACGAGCGCAACCCUCGUUCUAUGUUGCCAGCACGUAAUGGUGGGAACUCAUGGGAUACUGCCGGGGUCAACUCGGAGGAAGGUGGGGAUGACGUCAAAUCAUCAUGCCCCUUAUGUCUUGGGCUUCACGCAUGCUACAAUGGCCGGUACAAAGGGCUGCAAUACCGUGAGGUGGAGCGAAUCCCAAAAAGCCGGUCCCAGUUCGGAUUGAGGUCUGCAACUCGACCUCAUGAAGUCGGAGUCGCUAGUAAUCGCAGAUCAGCAACGCUGCGGUGAAUACGUUCCCGGGUCUUGUACACACCGCCCGUCAAGUCAUGAAAGUCGGUAACACCUGAAGCCGGUGGCCCAACCCUUGUGGAGGGAGCCGUCGAA
rnacentral:rRNA from 1 species